UACGUACGAGGCGAGCGUUAUCCGGAAUUACUGGGCGUAAAGCGCGCGCAGGCGGCUUCUUAAGUCAGACGUGAAAUCUCCCGGCCUAACUGGGAGGGGUCGUUUGAGACUGGGAGGCUUGAGGACGGCAGAGGUUGGUGGAAUUCCUGGUGUAGUGGUGAAAUGCGUAGAGAUCAGGAGGAACACCGGUGGCGAAGGCGGCCAACUGGGCCGUCUCUGACGCUGAGGCGCGAAAGCUCGGGGAGCGAACGGG
rnacentral:rRNA from 1 species